rnacentral:rRNA from 1 species
CCUACGGGUGUCAGCAGUGGGGAAUAUUGGACAAUGGGCGAAAGCCUGAUCCAGCCAUGCCGCGUGUGUGAAGAAGGCCUUCGGGUUGUAAAGCACUUUCAGUGGGGAAGAAAGCCUUGGGGCUAAUACCCUCGAGGAAGGACAUCACCCACAGAAGAAGCACCGGCUAACUCCGUGCCAGCAGCCGCGGUAAUACGGAGGGUGCGAGCGUUAAUCGGAAUUACUGGGCGUAAAGCGCGCGUAGGCGGUCUGAUAAGCCGGUUGUGAAAGCCCCGGGCUCAACCUGGGAACGGCAUCCGGAACUGUCAGGCUAGAGUGCAGGAGAGGAAGGUAGAAUUCCCGGUGUAGCGGUGAAAUGCGUAGAGAUCGGGAGGAAUACCAGUGGCGAAGGCGGCCUUCUGGACUGACACUGACGCUGAGGUGCGAAAGCGUGGGUAGCAAACAGGAUUAGAUACCCGAGUAGUC